AACGCACAUUGCGCCCCUUGGUAUUCCGGGGGGCAUGCCUGUUCGAGCGUCAUUAUCACCCCUCAAGCCUGGCUUGGUGUUGGACCUCUGGCCCCUAACAGGGCCGGUCCCAAAGAUAAUGACGGUGCCUAUGCGGCCCUUGGUGCAACGAGCUUUCACGAGCACGCACUUGGCGGUUUCAUAGACCCGGUCGUUUACCUAAAUUUUUACAAGGUUGACCUCGGAUCAGGUAGGAAUACCCGCUGAACUUAA
rnacentral:misc_RNA from 2 species